UGGGCAGAGCUGGGCAAGGGCAGAGGCCAGGGGCCGGCCAGACCCCAAGGCUUUAAGGCAGAGCAGGGUGAGGGUGUGCGCAGCCCGGGGCGGGCCAGCCUUUGGCACAACGAGGGGAGGGCGGCGCGGCGGCCGAGGGGGCAGGGCUGGAGGGGGCUGAAGCCCUUGGUCCUGGACCGCUCACUCCAGGGCCUGGCAGGUGGGCGAGGGGGGAGGGCACACGUGGGACCUCGGCCACCGCCUGACUUCUGUUCCCACCGCGUAACCUUGACGCAACUCCGGCGGUCAGCAGAGCGUGUCCGUGUUGAAGGAGAGCUGGGCCUGGUGGACAGCGACAGGCUGGCUGGAGUGUGUGAGCCCGCUCCCAGCCCAGGCCGGCCCUUUCGCCGGCCCUCCCGCCUCUGUCCGCCCCGAGCUCCCUCUCAGUGCCGGACUUCCUGGUGGUCUGCCCCUGCCAGGCCGGUGGCUGCUGGUCCCAGGCUCUGCUCCGCCCACCUCGGUUCUGCCUGGCUCCAAAACGCCCUCCGUUUCCAAGGUGCUAGGAGGUCGGCGUGGUCUGUCUCCCCUGACUGCGCCCAGGCCUCCCAGAUCCACUCUACUCCCGAGUAUCGUGGGUCCCUGUGCCCUCGCCCCAGCUCAGAACAGCCGGGGUCCAAGGCCCCGCCUCGCCCCGCCGUAGCCCGGCCCUGCCCCUCCCGAGCCCGGCCCCCGUCCCAACCUGAGCCCAGCCCCUCCCCCUGCGGAGCCCGACCCCCACUCCCAACCGAGCCCGGCCCCCGGCCAGCCCGCAGCCCUGACCCGAGCCCCUGGCUCACCCGCUCCUCCUCGAAGCUUAUAAGGCCCUCAUCCUCCGUGUCCAGGUCCUCAGGCUCGUCGGCCACCAGCGCCCGCAGCUCAGUGGGGGGAGGCCGCGGCCGGAACAGGCUGAGCAGGCGGCACAGCGGGGACUGUAGGCCAGAGGGCGGCUCCGUCUCCUGCUGCUCCAGGUUGUCGCUCUGCUUCUUGGCGAAGUUCACGAACACCUGGUGGGCGGGGGCGGGGGCAGGGGGUGGGCGGGGGGCCGGCCCAGCGGGGAGGGCGACCCCAGCCCAGGGCACUCACGUUGUCCAGGGUGGUCUGGCUGACCGAGUAGUCCUCGACGCCCAACACGCCCACCACCUGUUCCAUUUUGCUGAACACCUGCGCCAGCGAGAUGUGCUCGGACUUGAGCUGGUACUGCACCUUCGUGUGGUGCCGCUCCUGGGGGGCACAGAGGUCAGAGGCCGCUCGGGCGGUGCCCCCUUCCCCCCGCCCCUCAGGCCUUGCCCACCUUGA
rnacentral:lncRNA from 1 species